rnacentral:tRNA from 2 species
GCGGGUGUAGUUUAAUGGUAGAACUGGAGCUUCCCAAGCUUCAAACGUGGGUUCGAUUCCCAUCACCCGCUCCA